rnacentral:rRNA from 1 species
UACGUAGGGUCCGAGCGUUGUCCGGAAUUACUGGGCGUAAAGAGCUCGUAGGUGGUUUGUCGCGUUGUUCGUGAAAACUCACAGCUCAACUGUGGGCGUGCGGGCGAUACGGGCAGACUAGAGUACUGCAGGGGAGACUGGAAUUCCGGGUGUAGCGGUGGAAUGCGUAGAGAUCCGGAGGAAGACCGGUGGCGAAGGCGGGUCCCUGGGCCGAUACUGACGCUGAGGAGCGAAAGCGUGGGGAGCGAACAGG